rnacentral:rRNA from 1 species
UGCCAGACUCCUACGGGAGGCAGCAGUGGGGAAUAUUGCACAAUGGGGGAAACCCUGAUGCAGCGACGCCGCGUGAGUGAAGAAGUAUUUCGGUAUGUAAAGCUCUAUCAGCAGGGAAGAAGAAAGACGGUACCUGACUAAGAAGCCCCGGCUAACUACGUGCCAGCAGCCGCGGUAAUACGUAGGGGGCAAGCGUUAUCCGGAUUUACUGGGUGUAAAGGGAGCGUAGACGGCUGUGCAAGUCUGAAGUGAAAGCCCAGGGCUCAACCCUGGGACUGCUUUGGAAACUGUGGAGCUAGAGUGCUGGAGAGGUAAGUGGAAUUCCUAGUGUAGCGGUGAAAUGCGUAGAUAUCAGGAGGAACACCGGCGGCGAAGGCGGCCUGCUGGACCGUGACUGACGUUGAGGCUCGAGAGCGUGGGGAGCAAACAGGAUUAGAUACCCCGGUA